rnacentral:tRNA from 1 species
GGGCGGUUAGCUCAGCUGGUUAGAGCGCUGCGUUGACAUCGCAGAGGUCAGUGGUUCAAGUCCUCUACCGCCCA